CAAGACGUAGCUAUAAGCUAAAAGCAUUCAGCUUACACCUGAAAGAUAUCUGCCACUUAACCAGAUCGUCUUGA
rnacentral:tRNA from 1 species